GGGGGAGUAACACGCGGGAACAUGCCUUUCUGCCGGAACAGCGCUUGGAAACGAGAGCUAGUACCGUAUACGCCCUUAGGGGGAAAGAUUAAUCGCCGAAAGAUGGUUCCGCGCUAGAUUAGGUAGCGGGUAAGGUAAUGGCUUACCAAGGCGACGAUCUCUAGCUGGUCUGACAGGAAGAUCAGUCACACUGGGACUGAAACCCGACCCAAACUCCUACGGAAGGCAAUAGUGGGGAAUAUUGCACUAUGGGGCCAACCCUGAUGCAGACAUGCCGCGGGCGUGAAGAAGGCCUUCUCUUUGUAAAGCACUUACAGUGGUGAGGAAAGGUUAACGGUUAAUACCCGUUAGCUGGGACGUUAGCAACAGAAUAAGGACCGGCUAACUCCGUGCCAGCAUCCGCGGUAUUACGGAGGGUCCGAGCGUUAAUCGGAAUUACUGGGCGUAAAGCGCACGCAGGCCCUGUGACUGCUUAUAUGUGAAAGCCCUGAGCUCAACCUGGGAAUUGCAUUUAUAACUGGCAGGCUAGAGAUUUGGAGAGAUAUAGUGGAAUUCCAGGUGUAGCGAUGAAAUGCGUAUGAUAU
rnacentral:rRNA from 1 species